AACAGAUGACCCAACGUUGCCUAAGUUAGAACAUGCACCGCUGCUGCCCAGGCUCCAAUAAGGGCAGGGUUGGCGCGUGUGGGCUUCUCUAAAGGGAAACAUGGCCAGUAAUUUUAAAAUCCAUCCCCUCUUCAAUGAUAGCAAAUAUAAAAGCAACGGGCUGCAAGGUACACGUAUGUUUAAUGAAAAAUGGAGGGACGUGGUCACAUUAGAUGAAUCUGUACCUUGGGACCACCACACCGUUAAUAUAUAAGACUGGAUUACAAUUAAAGGAUGAGGAAGCUUUCUCAAAGGGUGCUUUGUAUGUGUUUACUAGUUGUGCAAACCAUGAACCUCGGUAAUGUGGUUAAUAGACCAUGAAAAGGAUGUGGUUUCUGCCCUCGGCUUAAAACAAAGACAGCAAUAAGACUAAAAGUACUUCAGGGCACAUGAGAGCAAAUUUCAAUCAAUACUUAUAGGAGAGGGAAGUUAAUUUUGCCUGAAGAGAAGAUCUGGCCUGCAUUAUGCAUUAAUUAGUAUUAGCUAAAAACUAUGUGGACCUAGCCCUUAUCAUUAAAAUAAAACACUCAAGGGUUUACAAACUAUUGAAAUUUAAGAAAAUGUCUUUGCAAUGAAUGCUACUAAGACUCACUGUUAUUAAGUACAUACAUAUCAAUUCCAUAAACUCAAUGGAAAACAUUUUACUGUGCUUGUAAAAAGAAGUGACUCAUAAACAGGAAUUCUGUCAUUUUAUCACUUUCAUGAUAGAAUGAUGUGUAGAAUUUGUUUUACAAUGCUCCAGAAAUAAAAUGUAGGGAAUGGAAAGAAGAUAGGUGAAAGAAAAGUGGUGCAACAUCAGUCAGUGUUGAAGCUAAGUUCAUUUUGCUACUUUACCUACUCAUGCAUAUGUUGGAAAAUUUACAAAAUGAAAAGCUAAAAGGAGAGAGAGCAUCUUCAGCAUGAAAGACAGCCAUUACCAAAGCAUUUCCUAUCUUUAACAAAAACUGAAGUCUUAGCCUUCAGACUAAGGAUGGUAGGAAGAAAGUAGCAAGGAAGUAUGGGACUGACCUUGCCGUAAGGAGUCACAGACCAGGGUGUCUCUCUUUUGGCCUGCUGCCAUCCGCGUAAGACAUGACUUACUCCUCCGUGCCUUCCACCAUGAUUGUGAGGCUUCCCCAGCCAUGAGGAACUGAUACCCAUCCCAUAGAUGUACUUGGGAUAGACAGCUUCUGGCACUCCUCCCAAGAUCUCUCCCUCCUGGUUACAAAAACCUGAGACUUCCAUUUUGCUGGAAACUUCUUUUCCUCUUGCACACUCACUCUGCGACUCUGUGUGGAGAGCUCCAUGUGACAAGGGAGGUCUGCAGCCUAAGCAACUGAGACCUCAGCCCAACAGCCCUCAAAGAACUGGAUCUUCAAACAACCACAUGAGUGACCUAGAAGCAAAUCUGUCACCAGUGCUCUUGAGACGGGCUGAAGUAUUUAAUCACCGGCACAAAAUGUCCCAGUGUUCUGUUCUCCUGCUGUGGAAAUUUUAGAGAAAAGAUCAUGAUCUAAGAGUCUACAAGACCAGAGCAGCCUGAAUUGCUGAGCUGCCUGGUGGAGAAUAGCAGCAUUGGGUGGUUCCCAGGAUUCUUAAAAGGACUUUACAAAGGAACAAGAGGUAGAAUGGAGAAUUUAAAUAGGACACAGUAAUAUUUCCUAGAACAGAUGGUAGAAGAAACCAUGAAUGAUGAAAAUACACUGAAUUGCAAAUAUAAAAGGCGGCAAGAAGCUUUUUCUUUCUUAUCCACAAGUAACACCUAGCAAUCCAGCUCAUAGGCCAUUGGCCAGAACUAAUCAUAAGACCUCGCCUAAAAGACCUGGCCUAAUCACUUAAGAGCUCUUAAGGAGUGAAUGGGCUCUUCCUGAAAAAAGAGCUUCUGCUAACCCUGAAAAGCAAGCAACAACCCUGUGAACUGCUAUGGAGAGAGAUGGCCUCUAACAGCUGAGGACCUCAGUCCUACAACCACAAGAAACUGAUUUCUGCCAACAACAUGAAUGAACUUGGAAAAGGCCCCUGAGCUCCAGAUGAGAACACCCAGGUCAACUCAGGUCAUGAGCAGAGAACCCUGUUAUAUUCUCCUUGGCUUGUGAUCCAUAAACAAUGAGAUUAUAGCCACUGAAGUUACACAUUCUCUCAAGGAUGGGAGAGAAGAGACUGAAGAAGACAAAACAGACUUCACUUCAGCAGCCAAGUGGAAAGCUGGGAACACACAGCCUAGGACAGAACUGUUUGAAUUA
rnacentral:lncRNA from 1 species